GCACCUACAAUCCAAAAGGCAGAGUAACAUACUCAUCAACUGCAACUGAAACUGUUGUAUGCUACAUAAACGUCUAUGAAUGCCUGGCAUUGGCUUUUAAUCUCUCAAAUUCUGUUACAAAAGUGGCAAAAGAGGUUUUGGAUGAAGAGAACUCUAUAAAGUCUAUCUUCUGGAUAGGUCAACACAAGCAUCUGGAUAACAACUACUUGAUAUAAAUACACCAAACCAUACCACUUAUUUGGAAAACCAUGUGGCUACUCAGCUUGACCAUUUUUAUUUUGAUCCCAUAUGGAAUAUUGAAAUAAAAUGUAAACUUGCCCAAUUUGAGGCUGAGUCCUAUUUUGGGUCGAUGCUCCUCCAGUUGUUGUUGUUCAGGUGAAUUUUCAUGAGGGAUAAUAAUGCCACAGGGAGAUUCAUCACCAGGUGUGUUAGGAGUUGCGUUUCCACUAGCU